rnacentral:rRNA from 1 species
CGCNNAGAACGAACGCUGGCGGCGUGGAUUAGGCAUGCAAGUCGAACGCAUCAUUUAGCUUUUUCGAAUGAUGAGUGGCGAAAGGGUGAGUAACGCGUGGGCAACCUGCCCUAAGGUGGGGGAUAACCUGUCGAAAGACGGGCUAAUACCGCUUAAGCUUCCGAACUGAGAUGUUCGGAAGGAUAGAUGGGGAUCUCUUCGGAGACCUGUCGCCUUUGGAUGGGCCCGCGUCCUAUCAGCUAGUUGGUGAGGUAAUGGCUCACCAAGGCUAAGACGGGUAGCUGGUCUGAGAGGAUGGUCAGCCACACUGGGACUGAGACACUGCCCAGACUCCUACGGGAGGCUGCAGUCGAGAAUCAUUGUCAAUGGACGCAAGUCUGAACGUGCGACGCCGCGUGUGGGAUGAAGGCCCUUGGGUUGUAAACCACUGUCAGGGGGAAGGAAUAAGCGUGUAACCCACGCGAUGACUUAUACCCCAGAGGAAGUGACGGCUAACUACGUGCCAGCAGCUGCGGUAAUACGUAGGUCACGAACGUUAUUCGGAAUCACUGGGCUUAAAGGGCGCGUAGGCGGUUUGAUAAGUUACGGUUGAAAUCCGGCGGCUCACCCGUCGAACUGGCCGUGAUACUGUCGAACUGGAGGUGCGGAGGGAUGCGUGGAACUUGUGGUGGAGCGGUGAAAUGCCCAGAUAUCACAGGGAACACCGGUGGCGAAGGCGACGCAUUGGCCGCAAUCUGACGCUGAGGCGCGAAAGCAUGGGGAGCGAACGGGAUUAGAUACCCCGGUAGUCCAUGCCGUAAACGAUGUGCACUAGGGAGAGGGUGGGUCCUAACUCACUCCCUCCCCAAGCAAAAGCGUUAAGUGCACCGCCUGGGGAGUAUGCUCGCAAGGGUAAAACUCAAAGGAAUUGACGGGG